rnacentral:rRNA from 1 species
UACGAACGCUGGCGGCGUGCUUAACACAUGCAAGUCGAACGGAAAGGCCCUGUUUUUUGGUGGUGCUCGACUGGCGAACGGGUGAGUAACACGUGAGUAACCUGCCCUUGACUUUGGGAUAACUUCAGGAAACUGAGGCUAAUACCGGAUAUGAGCUUCUGCGGCAUGGUGGGGGUUGGAAAGUUUCGGCGGUUGGGGAUGGACUCGCGGCUUAUCAGCUUGUUGGUGGGGUAGUGGCUUACCAAGGGUUUGACGGGUAGCCGGCCUGAGAGGGUGACCGGCCACAUUGGGACUGCGAGAGGGACCAGACUGCUACGGGAGGCAGCAGUGGGGAAUAUUGCACAGUGGGCCGAAGCGUGAUGAAGCAGCGCCGCGUGCGGGAUGACGGCCUUCGCGUAGUGAAACGCUUCCGCCUAUGACGAAGCGUGAGUGACGGUAAUGGAUAAAGAAGCACCGGCUAACUACGUG